AGUGAACGCUGGCGGCAUGGUUAAGACAUGCAAGUCGAACGAAAAGCAGAUCUUCGGAUUUGUGGAAAGUGGCGAACGGGUGCGUAACACGUGAGCAACCUGCCCUAAAGUACGGAACAGCCUGUCGAAAGAUGGAUUAAUGCCGUAUGUGACUUUUUCUCGCAUGAGAAAAUAGUUAAAGCUUGUAAUGGCGCUUUAGGAUGGGCUCGCGGCCUAUCAGCUUGUUGGUAAGGUAACGGCUUACCAAGGCUAAGACGGGUAGCUGGUCUGAGAGGAUGAUCAGCCACACCGGGACUGAGACACGGCCCGGACACCUACGGGUGGCAGCAGUUUCGAAUCAUUCACAAUGGGCGAAAGCCUGAUGAUGCAAUGCCGCGUGGAGGAUGAAGGCCCUAGGGUCGUAAACUCCUGUCAUUGGGGAGCAACAAGUAAGUUCAUAGCUUACCAUGAGUUAACCCAAAGAGGAAGAGGUGGCUAACUCCG
rnacentral:rRNA from 1 species